AUGGAAGAACGCAGCGCCAGCCUCCAUCGAUUCAAGAAUUGGAAGCCUCGAACACACUCUGCCAAAGGACAGAAAAUCAAUCAAUUGAGCGGAUUUAUCAUACUCCAAGCAGGAACAUCAGAACUUGAAAUUGGGCACAAUUUUCAAUUACACAAGGAAGACGCACAGAAAAGGAUAUGGGCGUUGGCAUCCAGGAUCACUCGAUCGAAAAUCCAUACCAAUAACUCGGACUCGAUUCCGGACGGAGGAAGGUCUAAGCGGCGGCCGCUCGUCCACUCUCCUCCUCCCUUUUCCCCCUGGAUGCGAUGGUUGAGGCCGCACCCGCGGCCUCCAUCGGCACAGCCGUCUACAGCGGCGACAACCACAUCCCGGCAGCAACGCUCCUCCCUCCGGAGGAGCACCACGGCCCGCCACGCAGCCCGGCAACAGAGACGGCCAACGCGCAUGCGGAGCGCAGUUCUCUCCGCCACACCUUGGCACGGCGGCGGCCUUCGGCUCCGACGCCGCUUCUCCUGA
rnacentral:rRNA from 1 species